ACCGUGAGGUGGAGCAAAACUUAUAAAGCCUAUCUCAGUUCGGAUUGUAGGCUGCAACUCGCCUACAUGAAGCUGGAGUUGCUAGUAAUCGCGAAUCAGAAUGUCGCGGUGAAUACGUUCCCGGGCCUUGUACACACCGCCCGUCACACCAUGAGAGCUGGUAACACCCGAAGUCCGUGAGGCAACCGUAAGGAGCCAGCGGCCGAAGGUGGGAUUAGUGAUUGGGGUGAAGUCGUAACAAGGUAGCCGUAGGAGAACCUGCGGCUGGAUCACCUCCUUU
rfam:Clostridium sp. IEH 97212 scaffold_91, whole genome shotgun sequence.